rnacentral:tRNA from 1 species
CUCGAGCACCCAACUUUCCUUGUCUCUAUCAGAACAAGUUCACUCACCCAAGCGCAGUCACU